rnacentral:rRNA from 1 species
GACGAACGCUGGCGGCGUGCCUAAUACAUGCAAGUAGAACGCAGUUGCGAACGGGUGAGUAACGCGUAGGUAACUGCCUGGUAGCGGGGGAUAACUAUUGGAAACGAUAGCUAAUAAUCCAUACCACCAGAUGGAUCUGCGUUGUAUUAGCUAGUUGGUGGGGUAACGGCUCACAAAGGCAACGAUACAUAGCCGACCUGAGAUGUGGAUCGGCCACACUGGAACUGAGACACUGACCAGACUCCUACGGGAGGCAGCAGUAGGGAAUCUUCGGCCAUGGGGGGAACCCUGACCGAGCAACGCCGCGUGAGUGAAGAAGGUUUUCUGAUCGUAAAGCUCUGUUGUUAAGGAAGCGGUACUUAACCAGAAGGGGACGGCAAACUACGUGCCAGCAGCCGCGGUAAUAC